UGGUCAAGGCACUGUGUUUUGGGGCCAAAAUACUAUAAAAGUAAAGAGUCUAGUGUACCUGAGCACUUGGAAGACCAUGUGACUCCUCGUAAGAGAUUGAGGAUCAUGGAUACUAGAAAAUCCAACUGCCCAGCAACUUUAAAUAUGAAGUGUAUAAGGGUGUAUCCUGAUUACAGUAUGCACUCAGCAACUGAACACAGGGAUACCAAGGCAAAAAUUCUUGCAAGUCUACAGAAAGAUUUGGCAUUGCCAUGCCCACCUAAGAG